GGGGGGUGGGGGGUGAGUGUGUUUUGGUGAGCGAUGCAUAAGGUCAUCUGAAGUAAGAUUUUUUUUUUUCUAAGUGCAGGCAUCUAUUAUGUCCAAACAUCUUGCAAAUUCUGAGAAGCCUGGAGAAUGAGUGGACACUUGGAUUCUAACAGGGAAUCCCUUCUCUCGUCACAAGCUGAGGGGGUAUUGUAGACGUCAGAUCUACAAAAGAUUUCAAGGCAUUGCAUUGGAUGGUCUGCCCUUGCCCUGUUCUGUUCCUUAAAAGCAGACAAGCGUGUAAAAAUUGUGAAGUUUCUACAUUCAGAGUAUCAACAAUUAUGAAUUAGUUGGAUCAUUGUGGAGAGGUGUAGAAGCUGUAAUUGGAGUCUGGAGUGUUCUUUGUCAAUCCUCAAUUGAUUUUUGCAAAUUUCGUUUAUAUAGUGCAAUUUUACUUAUCCAAUCCCCACCCCUUAUCUGUUCCAUAUAUAUUUAUAAGUGCAUUACAACUAGAGGAUUUUGAUUUAACUGAUUGAAGUAUUUGGUGACCCUUUUAAGGUUCUAGUGGAAUCAGACUUGGCUGGCUUUGUUA